rnacentral:lncRNA from 1 species
GGGAGAGAGGCGACUGAUUUGGGAAUGAGAGAGAGAACCGAGAGUGUUGUGGAGAUGGGCUACUAUUUUUUUUUAAUUGGGCUUCUUUCAUUUAUGUUAAAUUGGGCUCUUAUUUUAAUUGGGCUUGGUUAUUAAAUUCUUUGGGCCUUGUUGAUUUAUUUUUAGUGGGCUUGAGUUGGGCUGGCUUAUUUAUUAAUAUUGGGCCUCUGAUUUUAUUUAAAUGGCCGAUUUUAAUUACUGAUUGGGCCUCCGAUUUUAAUUAUAUGGGCUUUGAUUUAAUUGUUGUUUUGAUUUGUAUGGGCUUCAUUUAAUUGAGUUGGACUUUAUUUAUUUUAAUAAUUGGGCCAUUACAUUGGGCCAUUUCAUUGGGCCGGAGUUUAUUUAAUUAUG